GGGGUUUUCCAGUGCUCACUUUCUUCCUCCUCACCUUUCAAUCAAGCACUUUCCUGUGGGAGAAAAUGCAAGUUGUCCUUUUUUCUCUCAGUGUACUCCAGCUCCCACACUGGCAGAGGCACAGCUCAGAAAUGCUGCCUGUGCUCCUGAAGAGCCUCCUUUGCCUCACCUUCUUGCACUGCACCACAGAACUUGCUCUCAUUCCUCUGGGACCAGUGAAUGAAGCAGAGGAGCCAACAGCCAGCAGAAAAGGAGGACAAACCCAACUGCUCUCCACUGCAGGAAUGGGGAUGCCGUGGAGCUGUGGAGGAACAGCCUGGCAGCAGAGGCACAGCAGGCACUGUGCCAACGUGACAGACAACUUCCAGACCUCACCACUUUGGUAUCAUCUAGUACUGUGUACAUCUGGAAACACGGUGGUCCAUCUUAUCAGCAUUGUUUUCAUCAUUAUGAGAAAGCUUAUCUGCACCUCAAAGCAAAAGAUGUGAGAGUCAACACAUCCACAAAUC
rnacentral:lncRNA from 12 species